GAAGGGGCGGGCGCGCUGGGGACCGGCUGGCGCGAGACCCGGCGCGAGGACGGCGGUGGGGGAGGGGUGGCGGCUCCACGCGCCCGCGCUGCGUCAGUCGCCCGCGGCGGCGGUGGCGGUGGAGGCGGCGGCAGCAGUGGCCCCGCGAUCGCUAAGGAAUGCGGCGGCUCCGCAUAACCAUGGGGUCAGAGGUCACAGCUCUGGCCUCCGCUUUCCCGCUCUGCUGAGGGGCCAAGACUAGACUGGCGGCGGGGCAGGAAGGCGAGACGCGGCUUUCCCUUCGGCGCCAGGGUAUAUGCGUGUCUGCUGUGGGUGUGUGUGAGUGUGUGUGAAGAGUGAGGAGGGGGACUGUAGGGUUUUUUUUUUUUUUUUUUUGAACAAAAACAAACCGAAAAGGUGGCUGGGAGUCGUAGUCCAGGCUGCCUGUCUGGCCUCUCCCGCUCCGGAAGAAUAUGGCUGCUUGCAACGUUCGGACCACACUUCCCGGCGAUCCCAGCGGCCCGUCUUUUCCGCCCUCCCCUCCUUUCCUCCGCCCCGCGCAGGGCUCGAAGCUGUAUUUGCAGAAGCUGCACCCCAGCCCGCAGUGUUCUUACCACCUAGUGAACUUGGUGAUAUGGAUGGUGUAAAGAACUUGGACUUCGGGGCCAUACUUUCCAGAAUGCACCUGAGGCCUUUUUUGAGGCAGUACCCUGGAGAGAACACAGAACCUGGGGUCAAACGGACCUAGACCAGCCAGUCCAGGUCACAGGCUCUAGGGGAAGCCAGGCACCAUGUCAUGAAGACACUCAAGCCCCCAUAUGGAGAGGUGACCUCUACACAGCACAUGGCCUCAGGCAAGCUUUCAGAUGACUUCAGCCCUGGCCAACAUCUGUGAGUUCUACCUCAUGAAAGAUCCAGAGCCAGAAUCACCUGAAUAGGCAGCUCCUGGAUUCCUGACACACAGGAACGGUGUGAGAUAAUAUUCAUUGGUUUAAGUCACUAAGUUCUGAGGUAACCUGUUACACGGCGAUAGACAAGGAAUACAGUGCCUCCCUUGUGCUUGCUUUGUAUGUUUGGUGAAAUCUACUAAAAAUCAAGGGACCUUCUUUCCAGAAAAACUUAUUUAUACAAAAUUCUCUGUAGCAUUUCAGGGUGUGCCCAGACCCCCUGAAGUCAAUAUAGUAAGAGCAGUAACUGUAGUACUCCCCCUUUCCUCAAAGGCUCAGAAAAAUAAAGCCACUUGUCUCAGAGCCAGGAUUGAAACCCAAGUAACCCAACUUUGUACACAGCUCACACUCUUUUGUCACUUGCUCUUUUGCCUCCCUGGAGCCCUAGGCUCAGAACCCCUGUUCUAAGCUAAGAAAUCCUAUCUUUUCUCUUCCCGAUGUACUCUAUCUCUUUAAUUAUAGAAGGUGAAUUUCUUUAA